rnacentral:sRNA from 1 species
CAGCAUCUUCCCUCUUGGUAAGAGCCAUUAUAACUAGGACUUGCUUUGAGCCUAAAAUCUGAUCUGGUUUGAAGAAAGUUUCAUGAACUGCUGAGAAGAACCCAUUUACCACAGGUAUUGGGUGAAAUAAUUCUGCUGGUGUCUUGUCUGUGUGUCUCGGAGGCAGAGUAUGAGGUGCUGUUGAUGGACUCAGGGUCUUCUUGCAUGCUUAGCAGGUACAUUAUCUAUGCCACCACCUAGCUAACCCUCUUCUGAUGCUUAAAUCCUGAGCAGUUCCCGCAGUGAUAUACUGUAUCCAUGCACUCUCCAUAGCGAUACACUGUAUCCAUGCACUCUCCACAAGCAGUGGGGGGGAUUUUAGUGGUCUUUGCUACAAUGGGUACACAGGAUGAUAGACAGAACCCUGCCAAGGUGCCCUAAGGUUAAUAUGAAAAUAACCUGCCAAGACAUAAGUGGGAAAGAUGGAGAGUGAUGGGCAGCAUAGACUGUAGGUCACAAACCUACCAACACGGGGAAGCUUCGUGUAUACUUAAUAUUGUUUAAAAUAGCAUUGGCUGCCAGGCAUGGUGGACACACCUUUAAUCUCAGCAUUCUGGAGGCAGAGGCAAGCAGAGUGAGUCUCAGGACAGGCAGGGCUGCACAUAAUAAUCCUAUCUCAAAAAACUAACAAACGAACAGCAUUAACGAGCAUCCAGCCUAGUGUCCAGAAUACCCUACACUGCUCUCUCCCUCAGAGUCCUCCCACUGCACUAUGCUUGUGUUCUCCUCCUCAUCCUCCUCCAUUGUGUCCAUGCUCCUUUCCUUACGUCCUCCCUACCCUGUGCUCAAGCUCCUCCUCCAUCAUCCUAUUUCCUGAAUUAUGUCUACCAGUUUGUGGAUUUUGGAGACAGGGACUUUCUGGUCAGUUUCAUUCCUUGUGGAACAUUUGUUACAUGGCUGACUCUUUUUGUUGGUUUUUUUUUUUUUUUUAAUGCCCUUGGUAUAAGCAGUAAGCAAUGGACUUUAAGGCUAGAGCUGCCAGACCCAUUGGUCAGUCUUAAGGCGUUAUGCUUAAAUGUGCCUCCAGACUACCGUGUUUACCCUUAGUUCCCAGUUGCUAUGGCUAAUCUUGGUCAUCAACUUGAUAUACAUGGGAAAACAGAACAUCAAUUGAGGCACUGCCUUCAUCAGAUUGGCUUGUGUAUGUCUAUGGGCGGGGCAUUUUCUUGAUUGUUAACUGAUAGAAGAAGGCUUAGCUCGCUGUGGGUUGAGCCCCCACCCUGGGCAGGUGGUCCAUGAACCUGGAAACAAGCAGAAAGAAACCAUGGUUUCCGAAUCAAGCUACUUCUCUCGAUGAUGGACUAUAAUUUGUAAGGCAAAUAAAUCCUUCCCUUUUCUCCCCCAAGUUUCUUUUGGUCACAGAUUCUGAACACAGCAACAAAAAUCUAGGAGAGUAGCUGAAUGGUGUUGGUAAGUCGCUGACUUCAUUAUCAGAUAACUUAGUGAUGACUUCUGGGCUGAGGAAGCCAUAAGAGUGUGGUCCUGGCUGGGGGAGGACCACUGACACACACCCUGAGGGCUGUGACCUAUGUGCCUGUCCCCAGCUCCUUCCUGGGUCUGCCUCUCCACCACUAGGCCAGCAGCUUUGUCCCACACUUGCUCCUGCAGGAUGCUCAGUCGCACCAGCUCCCCACACUGGCUUGACACUGGGGCCAGAUGGAGGGGUACAGGAUGCUCAGGAACCAUGAACCCUGACAUACUCUCACUGAAGUUGUUCCUGUCAGGCAUCUCGUCACAACCAGAAAAUCCGGACACAUGUGCAGUGUGUCCACAGGACCUGUCACAGCCCUUUCUGGGGCUAAUAAUGCCAGCAGACUUGCUGGUCAGAGCUUGGAGUCUGAUACCUGGAGUCCUGCUUCCUGGUCUCUGCAGCCAGACGCACUCUACAGGCUCAAUAGGCAGGGUGGGGGAGGGGCUGAGACCCUGUAGUGACUCGAACUCUGGAUCAGGAUUUUUGACCUCAGUUUCCUGACUAUAAACUGAGAGGUUUCAGAAAGUAUUCCCUGGGGAAGUGGGACCAGGCAGACAUGGCCACUGCACCCCCAGCAUCCCAGCCUGAGGCACAGCUGGUUCUGAUUGUGGGGGCUCAGCUCCCCUUGGUGAAGUGAGCAUGUCAGGCAAAGACUGAAACUUAACCCCAGUCCUCAUCCCACUCCUCUCCAGGAGGAGCACAGAGGAGCCCUCCCAGUGGAUCCCUGUCUCCUGGGGUGAAGCUCCCAGGAAGUGGAUCUGGGGAAGCUCCAGCCAUGAGGACUAUGAAAAUAAACUGCCAACGAUGUGAAUGGGACAGAUUCAAAGUGAUGGAAGAUUUUCAGAGACCGCAGGCUGCACGCUGCGACAGGGAUCCAGAGAUGAACAUCUGCUUUUGGUGAGGGACGGAGCCCUGGUCCAGCAUCAAGUCAGCCAACCCACCUACCAGGGCAUCUGCCUGGGUCCUCACCAACAGACAUGGGUGCAGAACUGAAGCCAGGCAGCCACCGGGCCAGAUCCCCCACCCAGGUCUGAUAUCUGACUCUGGGCAACCCCAAUCUAAAGACAUUAAUAAAACUUUCUAAAAAAUGGUUCUUUCAUCUGAACUGACCCAUCCUCUGUGUGGCGUGGUAAAAUUUCAUGGCCUUGGGCUCAGUACUGCCUCUGUGUAUGUGAGUCACCCCUCUGUCUAGCUUUUUACAUCACCCACCCUGUAGUGGCCUGGGAGUUAUUUCCACAAUCAGAUCAACUGCCACCAUAUACCAAAGACCAGCCAUGAAAGUCCUUCCUUCGGGUGAAAAAGGGAAACUCGCAGUGUAAUAAACAAAUUAAAAACCAGCUUGUAGUGCUUGCUAAGAUCUGGGUAAGGAUGUUCCAGGGUUGGGCGUGGCAGUAAACUUUUAGCAAUCCUCCUGCUUCAGCCUCCUGGUGCUGGAAUUACAAAUGUGUGCCACUGUGCCCAGUUGCUGUUUUUAGUUUCUGGCCAUGGCUGAAUUUUAGCUUAUAAAAUCAUAGAUGAAAGAAAAGUAGUCAAGCCAGACACUGCGUGAGGUUUCAGACAACCAAUGGGCUCUUAGAAGACAUUCCCUAGGGGGCUGGAGAGAUGGCUCAGCGGUUAAGAGCACUGACUGUUCUUCCAAAGGUCCUGAGUUCAA